rnacentral:rRNA from 1 species
UACGAAGGGGGCUAGCGUUGUUCGGAAUUACUGGGCGUAAAGCGCACGUAGGCGGUGUUCCAUGUCAGAGGUGAAAGCCUGGGGCUCAACUCCAGAAUUGCCUUUGAAACGGGAACGCUUGAGUCCGAGAGAGGGUGGCGGAAUUCCUAGUGUAGAGGUGAAAUUCGUAGAUAUUAGGAAGAACACCAGUGGCGAAGGCGGCCACCUGGCUCGGUACUGACGCUCAGGUUCGAAAGCGUGGGGAGCAAACAGG